UAUGUAUGAAACACUAUGAUUUUCACCAGACCCUCUUCUGAUCUUGGAAGCUAAGCGAGGCCAGGCUGGGUAGUACUUGGAUGGGAGACCGCUGGCAUAUGAGUUGCACUCUUUU
rnacentral:rRNA from 1 species